UACGGAGGGUGCGAGCGUUGUCCGGAAUCACUGGGCGUAAAGGGCGCGUAGGCGGCGCGGCUAGUCGGCGGUGAAAGCCCGGAGCUCAACUCCGGGUCGGCCGUCGAUACUUCCGGGCUUGGGCACUGUAGAGGCAGAUGGAAUUCCGGGUGUAGCGGUGGAAUGCGUAGAGAUCCGGAAGAACACCGGUGGCGAAGGCGGUCUGCUGGGCAGUUGCUGACGCUGAUGCGCGACAGCGUGGGGAGCAAACAGG
rnacentral:rRNA from 1 species